rnacentral:rRNA from 1 species
UCCGGUGGAAUCUUGCUAGGCAUCCAUUCCACGUACUUGGAACUUUUGUCCACGUCAAAGGGGGAAUAUCAUAUCAAAUUUCACCUUCGAAACAAGUCCGACAAUUUCCUUUGGAGCCUGGCGGUUGUAUAUGGCGCCGCUCAGGACGAGUUUAAGUCUGCUUUUCUAAAGGAACUUGUCAAUACCUGCCAAGAUAAUCCCCAUCCAAUGUUAAUCAGGGGGGAUUUCAAUAUCCUUCGAUAUCAGCAGGUAGAAAACAAUGACCGGUUUGAUACUAGGUGGCCUUUCCUAUUUAAUGCUGUUAUUGACAGCCUAGAUCUGUGGGAGCUCACUAUGUCUGGCCGUCAGUAUACCUGGGCCAAUAACCGACCAGUUCCAACUUUCUAA